GACGAACGCUGGCGGCGUGCUUAACACAUGCAAGUCGAACGGUGAAGCGCCUUCCUUUUUGGUGGGUGUGGAUGAGUGGCGAACGGGUGAGUAACACGCGAGUAACCUGCCCCCUUCUUCUGGAUAACCGCAUGAAAGUGUGGCUAAUACGGGAUAUUCUGGGUCUGUCGCAUGAUGGGUCUGGGAAAGAUAUUGUUUCGGUGGGGGAUGGGCUCGCGGCCUAUCAGCUUGUUGGUGGGGUGAUGGCCUACCAAGGCGGUGACGGGUAGCCGGCCUGAGAGGGUGGACGGUCACAAUGGGACUGAGACACGGCCCAGACUCCUACGGGAGGCAGCAGUGGGGAAUAUUGCACAAUGGGCGCAAGCCUGAUGCAGCGACGCCGCGUGAGGGAUGGAGGCCUUCGGGUUGUGAACCUCUUUCGCCAGUGAAGCAGGCCUGCCUCGUUUGUGGGUGGGUUGACGGUAGCUGGAUAAGAAGCGCCGGCUAACUACGUG
rnacentral:rRNA from 1 species